rnacentral:rRNA from 1 species
GAUGAACGCUGGCGGCGUGCCUAAUACAUGCAAGUUGAGCGGGAGGUUUACCUCCAGCAGCGAACGGGUGAGUAACACGUAUCUAACCUGCCCUUAAGUCUGGAAUAACGUUGGGAAACCGACGCUAAUGCCGGAUAGGUAAUUGAAUCUUAUGAAUUAAUUAUUAAAGAAGCGUUUGCUUCGCUAAAGGAUGGGGAUGCGCAGCAUUAGAUAGUUGGUGGGGUAAUUGCCCACCAAGUCAACGAUGCUUAGCCGACCUGAGAGGGUGAUCGGCCACACUGGAACUGAGACACGGUCCAGACUCCUACGGGGAGGCAGCAGUAGGGAAUUUUCGACAAUGGACGAAAGUCUGAUCGAGCAACGCCGCGUGAGGGAAGAAGGUCUUCGGAUUGUAAAACUCUUUUAGCAGGGAAAAUAAUGAUGGUACCUGCAGAAAAAGUCUCGGCUAACUUCGUG